GCGGCGGACGGGUGAGUAACACGUGGGUAACCUGCCUGUAAGACUGGGAUAACUCCGGGAAACCGGGGCUAAUACCGGAUGGUUGUUUGAACCGCAUGGUUCAAACAUAAAAGGUGGCUUCGGCUACCACUUACAGAUGGACCCGCGGCGCAUUAGCUAGUUGGUGAGGUAACGGCUCACCAAGGCAACGAUGCGUAGCCGACCUGAGAGGGUGAUCGGCCACACUGGGACUGAGACACGGCCCAGACUCCUACGGGAGGCAGCAGUAGGGAAUCUUCCGCAAUGGACGAAAGUCUGACGGAGCAACGCCGCGUGAGUGAUGAAGGUUUUCGGAUCGUAAAGCUCUGUUGUUAGGGAAGAACAAGUACCGUUCGAAUAGGGCGGUACCUUGACGGUACCUAACCAGAAAGCCACGGCUAACUACGUGCCAGCAGCCGCGGUAAUACGUAGGUGGCAAGCGUUGUCCGGAAUUAUUGGGCGUAAAGGGCUCGCAGCGGUUCUUAAGUCUGAUGUGAAAGCCCCCGGCUCAACCGGGGAGGGUCAUUGGAAACUGGGGGAACUUGAGUGCAGAAGAGGAGAGUG
rnacentral:rRNA from 1 species